CCUACGGGUGGCUGCAGUGGGGAAUAUUGGACAAUGGGGGGAACCCUGAUCCAGCCAUGCCGCGUGUGUGAAGAAGGCCCUCGGGUUGUAAAGCACUUUCAGUGAGGAAGAACGCCUGGUGGUUAAUACCCAUCAGGAAAGACAUCACUCACAGAAGAAGCACCGGCUAACUCCGUGCCAGCAGCCGCGGUAAUACGGAGGGUGCGAGCGUUAAUCGGAAUUACUGGGCGUAAAGCGCGCGUAGGUGGCUUGAUAAGCCGGUUGUGAAAGCCCUGGGCUCAACCUGGGAACGGCAUCCGGAACUGUCAAGCUAGAGUGCAGGAGAGGAAGGUAGAAUUCCCGGUGUAGCGGUGAAAUGCGUAGAGAUCGGGAGGAAUACCAGUGGCGAAGGCGGCCUUCUGGACUGACACUGACACUGAGGUGCGAAAGCGUGGGUAGCAAACAGGAUUAGAUACCCUUGUAGUC
rnacentral:rRNA from 1 species